rnacentral:tRNA from 1 species
GGGGCUGUGGCUCACUGGUAAAGUAUCUGCUUGGUAUGUAGAAAGUCCCUGGUUCAGUCCAGGGUAUCUCCA